UGUGGUGGCUAGGCUAUCACAUCUACACUCCCAAUCCUCUCCCCUCCCCAAUCCAGUCCAUCAUAAUACUGGAAUACUAUUAUGACAUAAAAAAUGAUUAAAGGGAUGGUUUCAGAAAAAUCUGGGAAGACAUGUGAAUUGAUGCAGAAUGAAGUGAGUAGAACCUAGAGAACAAUUUAUACAAUUACAAAAAUAACAUAAAGCAGAUAACUUGGACCUCUGAAUAAAUGACCAAUGGCAAUUCUAUAAGACUGAUGAUGAAGCACACUACCCAGACAUGUAUUUUCUGGACACGGUGUUCCAGAAUGGAAGAACACAGAUCUUCAAUGAAGAAUGAAAGAAGACAAGACUGGCUUGCUGACCAGAGACCAGAUGAUGAAGACAGAGUUUAUACAAUCAACAUAAAAGGACAUGGAAGGAUUGUGAAAUUUUGGACUUUUGAUCAUGAGGAUAUGUAAGAAUGCAUCAUAUAUGUUAACAUCACAUAUAUGCAUGCACAUCCUACAUAGAAAUGGAAGCUAUCUCAUGGAAUGGAAUGACAAAUAUAAAAGAAUUUGGAGAAACUUUGGAAGACUUAUGUGAAUGGAGGCAGUGAAUUACCAGAAGCAGGAGUGCAAUUUAUAUGAUGAGCACAAAAAAGUAAAAGAAAACACUAUCAAAAGACUUCAGAAUUCUGAACAAUGCAGCAACUGAUUAUGACAACAGAGGAGUAAGUGAAGCAAGCUUCAUGAGAGGUGAUUUUUUUUCCCCCUUGAAAAUACUUAUUUGCUACAAGGGGAUGAUUGUGGUGGUGAGUCAUUGGGAAGUGACGAGCGUUUUUUUUUUUAAAAGAGCAUCAAUAAAAAGUUGCUUUCAUAAAUAAAUAAAGCUAACUACUACUAGGUUUACAUUCCAAAGAAAGGAGAUCUUUUUAUGUAUAAAAAUAUUUAUCUGCAGGGACAAGAUAGUGUAGUGAACAGAGUGCCAGGUCUGAGGUCCUGGCUUCAAAUUUGGCCUCAGAUUUCCUAGCUAUGUGACCCUAUGCAAAUCACUUAACUCCAACUGCCUAAACUUUAUUGCUCUUCUGUCUUCAAAUCAAUUCAAAGAUAAUUUAAAGAUUGAAGGUAGAGGCUUAAAAAGUUUAUUUCAGUUCCUUUUUAGUAUAAAUAACUGGAAGUUAAGAGGAUGAGAAUCAACUGGAGCAUGAUAGAAAAAAAAUUAGUUUAUGAAGGUAAUGAAAUACUAAAGGGCUAUAAGAAAGAAAAGAAUUUCUGAAAAACUGUGGGAGACUUGCACAUACUAAUAUAGAAUAAAGUGAGCAGAACCGGGAGAACAACUUAUACUAUAACAACCCCUUCAUUUUAUAGAUAAGGAAAUUGAGACUGAAAGAGGAUAAGUGACUUGCCCAGGGUCACAUUGCUAGAAAGUGUCUGGGCCACAUUUGAACCCAGGACCUCCUGACUCCAGGCCUGGCUCUCUAGUCACUGGGCCACCUAGCUGGUACAUUUCUGAGGCAGUUUUUGAACUCAGGACUUCCUGAUUCCUAACUUGGUCUUCAUUCAUUCACAGCAUCACAUACAUGCUUCAGUUAUCGCUGUUCCAUAUAUAUGCAGAAAUGCUAAUUAAAGAGUUCCAGUUACUAAAAUGAGGAUAAAAGAAUUUUCUAUAGUAAGAGGGAAAGGACAGUGCUCAUUAAUGUCCCAUUUUCAAUAUUCUCUUGGUAUGAGGAGAGUAGGAAUAUUCUCUGGAUCUGGUGGGGAAGGCAUGUUUCUAAAUCAUGUGCCUUUCACUGGAAGUGAGCAAAAAGUUACAGGGAGCAUCUGAUGACAAACUGACUCUGAUUAUUCUUAGGUUGUCAAGUUUAAUCUGACCACCAGGGAGCUGGGAGCCAAUGCUGGAGAGUUUUAGAGCCUAAAGGCUUUACAAUUAUAGAAAUGAUAUUUGUUCUCUAUUGUAUUUUCAAGAAGAAUUAUUUUAUUCUGUGCUACACAACUAAAUGGAAGGCAAAAAAUGAUUAGCAAAUUUGUGAAACUUGAGAUGCUAAUGAUUAAAAUUCAAUAUGCACUAUGAAAUCAGUUUGUAAAAUGUUCAGCUUUGCCAAUAUUUAAUGUAGUUAUUAAGUGUUAAAUAUAAUUAAACUUUUGAAGGAUCUGAAGAAAACCCAUUAACUUGUGGAAUAUUUACUAGAUGCUUACUGACAAAUUCUUAUUUUGGACAUCAAUGAAUUAGGGUUUGUAGGUAAAGGAUAGUAUGCUUGGAUGGUUUUAAAGACUUUCAAAAUGGAAAUGUAUGUGAACAGUUUAAAAAAUGAACAAAUGUCCUGUAUUAAAAAGGCUUUCAAUAGAUUUAUGACAAAAUGUCUCAAAUCUUUUCUGGAAGCAUAAAAUGUAUAAAUCCUACAUAAAUAAAAAAGGCAAAAUUGAUUUACAGUGAAUUUGCCUCCCUUAUACCAAAAUCUCCCUCAGAGGAGUUGCACAACUUUUAAAGUUAACAGAGCAGCAAGGGGUAUUGAAUUUGAGGCAAAAGAUAACACUGCAAAUCACUGUAUUCAGGCUGCUUGAAAAAGUGGAAGAUUUCAUAUGAAACAAAUCAAUUCAUUGUCAAUAUACCAACUUGAUGGGAAGGCAACUGUUCCCUAUAGUCACGAUAAGAAUAGAGUACUUGGGACAAGUCUAAUGCAUUUUCCCACUACAGCAGAAAAAUUUUAGUUACUGAAAGACUCUUACAGGUAUACUUUUUUAUUUCUUGUUAAAGAGUUUGCAUGUGCUUUCAUUUAACAUCUGCCAAUGGACUCUUGCCAAUUCAUAUCUAUAAAUACAUACCAGUGGG